rnacentral:lncRNA from 1 species
AGAGAUCUUAUUUCUCAUGUCUUCCUUCUCCUGGUGUAGUUUGGCUUCUUUCAAAUACAACUUUUCUACCACUUUGUGGUCAGGAGUGGGUAAAGUGAAAGAAGAGGAGACCCUCCACAGAUGUGCUGGUGAAGAAUUCUUGGAGAUCCAGGGCUUCUGUGUCUCAUCGUAGGGCUUCUGGGAGAAUCACCUGGCUUUAUCUUGAAUACUGAUUAUCCUCUUAAAAAUUACUGAUGUACAAUUGCUACCUCUUAAGAAAAGGAUUCAGUGUUAAAUUGCCAUUUCUGUGUACCAUAUUUAAAUUUUCUUAAAUUUAAUUUUAUUUUUAAUUCAUUUUUUAUACUCCAUAUUCCAUUUCCUGUGCCCCCCCAUCCACCCCACAGCUCCACAUCCUACCCCUCCUCCCACCCCAGCUGACCUCUAAACUCCCUGGGGCUUCCUGUCUCUUGAGGGUUAGGUGCAUCAUCUCUGAAUGAACACUCAUAUUAAUUUCUAAUUUGUUUGCAUUAUCCUGACAUUAAAAAAAUACUAUAUUCUUUUUUCUAUUUCUUUUCAUUUGUAUAUUUUAUACUGAAAAUACAGAAAAUAAACCUGCUGCUGAGAACAUC